rnacentral:rRNA from 1 species
UACGAAGGGGGCGAGCGUUGUUCGGAAUUACUGGGCGUAAAGGGCGCGUAGGCGGCCCUGGAAGUCAGGCGUGAAAGCCCCGGGCUCAACCUGGGAAUUGCGCUUGAUACUCCGGGGCUCGAGUUCGGGAGAGGAGAGUGGAAUUCCCAGUGUAGAGGUGAAAUUCGUAGAUAUUGGGAAGAACACCGGUGGCGAAGGCGGCUCUCUGGACCGAGACUGACGCUGAGGCGCGAAAGCUAGGGGAGCAAACGGG